GCGAGAGUAGCUCAAUUGGUAGAGCAUCAGAUUGUGGAUCUGAGGGUUGCGGGAUCGUGCCCCGUCUCUUGCCCCA
rnacentral:tRNA from 2 species